rnacentral:rRNA from 1 species
GACGAACGCUGGCGGCGUGCUUAACACAUGCAAGUCGAACGGAAAGGCCCCCACCUUGGUGGGGGUGCUCGAGCGGCGAACGGGUGAGUAACACGUGGGUGAUCUGCCCUGUACUUCGGGAUAAGCUUGGGAAACUGGGUCUAAUACCGGAUAGGACCAUGGUUUAGUGUCUCAUGGUGGAAAAAUCAUUGUUUUGGUGCCGGAUGAGCUCGGGGCCUAUCAGCUUGUUGGUGGGGGAAUGGCCUACCAAGGCGUCGACGGGUAGCCGGCCUGAGAGGGUGGACGGCCAGAUUGGGACUGAGAGACGGGCCAGACACGUACGGGAGGCAGCAGGGGGGAAUAUUGCACAAUGAGCGCAAGCCGGAGGCAGCGAGGGCGAGUGGGGGAUGACGGCCGUCGGGUUGUAAACUCCUUUCGUUAGGGACGAAGCCACACCUUUUUUGGGUGGGGUGACGGUACCUUUGUUAGGAAGCACCGGCUAACUACGUG